UGGGGAAUCAUGGUCAAUGGGCGAAAGCCUGAACCUGCGACGCCGCGUGAGUGAUGAAGGUCGUAAGAUCGUAAAACUCUUUUCAGGGAUCUUAAAGCCUGUCUGUCAACAACAGGCAGGUCUGACUCUCCCUGGAAGAAGCCCCAGCCAACUACGUGCCAGCAGCUGCGGUGAUACGUAGGGGGCGCGCGUUAUUCGGAAUUACUGGGGGUACAGGGUAUGUAGGCGGCCCUUCAAGUCGCGUGUCAAAGUCCAGUGCUCAACGCUGGGUGUGCACG
rnacentral:rRNA from 1 species